UCUCCAGGGCCUUGAGGAGAGAUGGUGAGGUCAGUCGUCUCCUGCCUGGCCUGGAGGACAGCUCGCAGGUGGCACAUCUCCACCCCCAUGCAGUUCAUCUCAUUUUCCAGGAAAACCCAUCUUGGUCAAACCCCACACAGUGGGCAAAGUGCCACUGGUGUUGGACACAC